GCGAGUAUGACUUGAAGCGACAAACUGUAUGCAUAUGAUGUUUGGUUAGAUUUGAUCCAUAUUCCCUUUUACCUAUUUUUAAGUCUGGAGGUUGAACUGAGAGACUUGAGAUGACAAAAUAUGCUUUUGUUAAAUAUGUGGAUAUUUAUUUUUUGACAAAACU